rnacentral:rRNA from 1 species
UGGGGAAUUUUGGACAAUGGGCGAAAGCCUGAUCCAGCCAUGCCGCGUGAGUGAAGAAGGCCUUCGGGUUGUAAAGCUCUUUUAGUCGGAAAGAAAGAGUUGCAAUGAAUAAUUGUGAUUUAUGACGGUACCAACAGAAAAAGCACCGGCUAACUACGUGCCAGCAGCCGCGGUAAUACGUAGGGUGCGAGCGUUAAUCGGAAUUACUGGGCGUAAAGGGUGCGCAGGCGGUCUUGCAAGUCAGAUGUGAAAGCCCCGGGCUUAACCUGGGAAUUGCGUUUGAAACUACAAGGCUAGAGUGCAGCAGAGGGGAGUGGAAUUCCAUGUGUAGCAGUGAAAUGCGUAGAGAUGUGGAAGAACACCGAUGGCGAAGGCAGCUCCCUGGGUUGACACUGACGCUCAUGCACGAAAGCGUGGGGAGCAAACA